UACGUAGGGGGCUAGCGUUGUCCGGAAUUAUUGGGCGUAAAGCGCGUGUAGGCGGUUCGGUAAGUCCGCUGUGAAAGUCGGGGGCUCAACCCUCGAAUGCCGGUGGAUACUGUCGGACUAGAGUACGGAAGAGGCGAGUGGAAUUCCUGGUGUAGCGGUGAAAUGCGCAGAUAUCAGGAAGAACACCGAUGGCGAAGGCAGCUCUCUGGGACGGUACUGACGCUGAGACGCGAAAGCGUGGGGAGCGAACAGG
rnacentral:rRNA from 1 species